AUGGAUAUGCAGGAAGGGGUGCUCCUAGGUGUGUGUAGGGGGUGUGUUUGUUCGCGAGAAUGAAUUCCUCGUCAAGUCAGGGGGGGUGUGGACACACUUGCGCGAAUUCGAGUAACGGCUACAAGGGAUAAAAAUAAAGGAAACUGUACCCGACCAGGGAUGGACGUAAACUUGUAA
rnacentral:rRNA from 1 species